UCCUCAAUUCUAAGUUUUUGGUGGAAAUUACGUCGAGAAACCGUUGUUUCUUCGACGACAAUUCUACUCUUACAAGACAGCACAUACUUGCUGCAACUUCCACUGAUUUCUAUCAAACCUUUGCUACCAUCUACCACAGAUCCAAAACUUUCAUCUACAGCCCUAAAACUCUACCAAACCAUGCCCUCAAACUGCACCCAAAAUAG
rnacentral:lncRNA from 1 species